GUGUUAGCAAACUUUGGCUCUCCUCUCUUUCUCCUCUCCUGCCUUUGCUGGCAUUGUGUUCCUGCUCUGUGUGAGAGAGAGUGUGUGCAUAUAUUUUAGUAGUGAGCAGUCUUGAAGCACUCGAUUGCAACCUAAUUCAAAAGUCUGCAGACUCAAAUCGAGUCAAAACGCAACUCAGAGAGGUGCCAAUCUGCAUUCACCGCUGGUAGCAAUGAAAUGAACGGAAUCAGCUGGGCUCCACGUCGUCACAGGAACUCGCCGCUUACGGCAACAACAGCGAAAACUAUUUGAUAGUGUCUGCCUCUUUUUUUAUUUGGAUGUCACUAUAUCAUGGUGCUUGUUUUAAUUUUAUUUUUUAAUUUCUUUUGGAAUUCAAAUACCUUUUUUUGGU